rnacentral:rRNA from 1 species
AACCUCUGCAAUGCACGAAAGUGUGACAGGGGAACUCCACGUGCUUACAUUAGUAAGCUUUUCCCAAGUUUAAAACGCUUGGGGAAUAAGGGCUGGGCAAGACCCGUGCCAGCCGCCGCGGUAACACGGGCAGCUCAAGCGGCGUUCGCGUAUAUUGGGCCUAAAGCGUGCGUAGCCCGUCCUUCAAGUUUCUGGUGAAAGCCUGCGACUCAAUCGUGGGAAGUGCCAGGAAAACUGAUGGACUUGGGACCGGAAGAGGUCGGAGGUAUUUCUGGGGUAGGGGUAAAAUCCUGUAAUCCUAGAAGGACCAUCGGUGGCGAAGGCGUCCGACUGGGACGGGUCCGACGGUGAGGCACGAAAGCUAGGGGAGCGACCCGGAUUAGAUACCCGGUUAGUCCUAGCCGUAAAUGAUGUCUGUUUGGUAUUGCGUAGCUUACGAGGCUGCGCAGUGCCGGAGGGAAGCCGUUAAACAGACCGCCUGGGAGUACGCCGCAAGGCU